GACGAACCGUGCGAACGUUGUUCGGAAUCACUGGGCUUAAAGGGCGCGUAGGCGGAUAUCCAAGUCAGGGGUGAAAUCUUUCAGCUUAACUGGAAAACGGCCUUUGAUACUGGAUGUCUGGAGUGAGGUAGGGGCAUGCGGAACUUCCGGUGGAGCGGUGAAAUGCGUAGAUAUCGGAAGGAACACCGGUGGCGAAGGCGGCGUGCUGGACCUCAACUGACGCUGAGGCGCGAAAGCCAGGGGAGCAAACGGG
rnacentral:rRNA from 1 species